GACGAACGCUGGCGGCGUGCUUAACGCAUGCAAGUCGAACGGAAAGGCCCUGCUUUUGUGGGGUGCUCGAGUGGCGAACGGGUGAGUAACACGUGAGUAACCUGCCCUUGACUUUGGGAUAACUUCAGGAAACUGGGGCUAAUACCGGAUAGGAGCUCCUGCUGCAUGGUGGGGGUUGGAAAGUUUCGGCGGUUGGGGAUGGACUCGCGGCUUAUCAGCUUGUUGGUGGGGUAGUGGCUUACCAAGGCUUUGACGGGUAGCCGGCCUGAGAGGGUGACCGGCCACAUUGGGACUGAGAUACGGCCCAGACUCCUACGGGAGGCAGCAGUGGGGAAUAUUGCACAAUGGGCGGAAGCCUGAUGCAGCAACGCCGCGUGCGGGAUGACGGCCUUCGGGUUGUAAACCGCUUUCGCCUGUGACGAAGCGUGAGUGGCGGUAAUGGGUAAAGAAGCACCGGCUAACUACGUG
rnacentral:rRNA from 1 species